GGGCCCUUUUAACAUUCAAAAAUUUGAACCAUUAUUAAGGCUUACCAGAUUACUUAAUUCCACAUUUUGACAUGUCCCUACAUGAACUCUGUCACCUAUAGGAAGAUCUCACUCACUCCAAACAGCUAUUUAAUUUCUUAACAUUAUUUAUUUAGUGUGAUUUAUUUACAUAUGUUCUUAAAUUCAAGUUGAGACUAUUCUUUGUUUACUAAUGUUUAUGGAUUAUUAUACUGUCAACCCAAUUACUUUUUCACUUAGUAGGUGCUUACUGUAGCAUAGUGUUUUUUCUUGAAAUACUUUUGUAAAAUAUAUUUGCCCAUGCUUGAUUGUUUGCUCUGAUCCUUCAGGACUCUGAUGGAAGCCCCCGUAAAAUGAAGAUUGUGACACAGAGGCGUGGCUUAUCAGCACACAGGGCUGCCCUCUUGGAUUGACCAAUCACAGGGCUACAAGUUCCUCCUCUGGCAGCCAUUCUAGCCACCCAAACAAGGGCAUGGUGGACAGAGCGAGUUCAACAUCUCGUCAGAAUAGCCAUGCUGACACACAGACGAGCUUUGGAACAGGACAGUCGUCAGGCAGCAACAGCAGGAGCCACCGUGGCAACAAGCAGAGGAGAAAAACCCAGCAUCAACGCAAAUCUCCACCUGCAGUUGAGAACCUCUGUAGAUAAGAGGCCUCGUGUAACAGAUUUCACAUAACUCUCAGUCUGUGCUGCCAAAACCAAGGCAAGGGAGGCAAUCUUACCAUGUCUUUGGCGGUGAUAUCUUCAUGCCAAGUUGGAAGAAUGUUCCUCCUUUUUUUGUCGGUUGAAAGGGCAGAUGGACGCUAUCCUCGUCUUUCUGUAAUGUUAACACACCUGUACAAGAAGGACGUCAAGCCUCAUCAGUUAUUCCUGAACUUAAGCAGUGGCUGUAUCUCCUCGUGCAUUUGAGUAACAGAACUGGGAAAACCUUUUUGGGGGUUGGGUCUUUGGUUAAUUCAGCCUUACAGAAGAAAUGACAAGGAAAAAAAGGAUUGGUGUAAAACUAUAGAACUUAAUGCUAUGUUUGGGGAAAUGCUUGCACUGACAAAAGGAGCCGUUGAAAAUGUUUUUCAGCAACUUAUCUCCUUAGUUUGCAAAGAAAAAAAGUAGACCACAAAAUAUUUGUGUGAUUUAAAAGUAAAAAUGGCAGAAGGAGAAGAAAAAAAAAAAACAUUACAAUGAAUAGGGAUUGUAUAUUUGUCACCAGCUGAAGUAAAAAAAAAAAGAAAAAUUAUAGAUUUGCCAAUUCUUGUGAACUGGGCCAAGUGUGGGUUCAAAGUGCCAACUCCAGCCAUCAGCAAAAUAGAUCCUUGCUAGAGUACUGUGAAUGAGAGCACAAAAUCACCUAAGGAUCAGGCCAAGGAUCAACCCUAAUGGACCAGUCAUAAUAAGGAAGGGGUGUCAUUUUUCUAAUGAUCUAUUUCACAAUACCGUUAAAUCACCGUAAUAUCUUACUAUUUAAUGUUACUGGUGGAAUACACAAUACCACUAUAUCUACGAUUUUCAAGCUUCCUAAUAUGAAAAUAUCAGUACUCUCCACUAUUUUGCAUAUUACAAAAUGAUUUGUAUUUGUUUAUGUAUUUAUUUUUUUAGUAUAUUUAUAUGAAUCUCUAAAUGUUAAUUGAUCGACAGCCUGGGAGUAGCCUGUCUCCUUGUGUAAAAGAUGGUUGAGAAUGUUGUGCUGAAUAUUUCAGACGCCCUCUGUGUCAUAAUUAAUGUCAUGUACUUACCUGGGGCUUGUCCAACACUACACUUUCACUCACCUGCCCCUUCCUGCCGAUCUCUUAUGCCUUCAGCGUUCACAGAUUUAACAUGAUCUAACCAGGUGCAACCAAUGUGGUGAAA
ensembl:lncRNA